AUUUAUAUAGUUUAAUAAAACAUUAUAUUUUCAAUAUAAUAUUAAUAUUUAAAAUAUAUUUAUAAAUA
rnacentral:tRNA from 1 species